AGAGUAUUAUUUAAGUUAUUUGGUGAGAGAUUAUUAAUAAAAAUAAUUUUAAGGAAUGUAUUUUAGUAUAGUUUAUGGAAUUUAAAAAGUGAAUAAUAGAGUAGUAGUACUGUGGAGGAAAUAUGAAAUAGAUGAAAUAUUUAUUGGGAUGGAAGAAGAAUAUAAUUUGUACCUUGGGUAUCAGGGUUUAUUAAGUAAUGGUAAUGAUUUAAAAGUCUCGGAUUAAAAAGAGUUAAAAUAUAUAAUAGUUAAUGUGUUAUUAUUAUUAUUAAUAUUAUUUUAGAAAUGAAAUGUUAAACGGUUUUUAAGUUAUCUAGUUUUCUAAGAAAUGAAUUUAAUUCAUGAUAUUAAAAGUAAAUAUUUAAUUUAUGAUAAUAGUUUAUUUUUAAUAUCAAAUGUAUAAAGGGAUAAGCUUUUAUACAAGUGUUAUAAGUUGUGAAUAAUUGUGAAGAGUUGUAGGCUUUAAAUUAGCCAUCUAUGAAAUAAUGUUAUAAAUUGUUUUGAGAGAAGAUUAUUUUUUAAUAAUUUUAGAUUGUUUAUUGGAAUAUUAUAUUAAAUGGGUUAGUAUAAGUAAUGAUGAUGAAAUGAGUAUAUAAAAUUGUUUAUUUGAUUUAGUACGGAAAUUUAUAGUAAGGAACUAGGCAAUUUAUCACUCGCCUGUUUAUCAAAAACAUCUCCUUUUGGUUAUAUAUAAGGUAGGGCCUGCCCACUGAAAGUAUUUUGAAGGGCCGCGGUAUUAUGACCGUGCAAAGGUAGCAUAAUCAUUAGUCUUUUAAUUGAAGGCUGGAAUGAAUGGUUUGACGAGGUGAUGACUGUCUCAUUAUAAUAUAUAGAAGUUAACUUUUAAGUUAAAAGGCUUAAAUUUUGAUGGAGGACGAGAAGACCCUAUAGAGCUUUAUAUAUAGAUUUAAGUUUGUAUUUGGUAGUUUAUUAGAGUUUAGAUUGAUUAUAUUAUGUUGGGGUGACAUGAAGAUAAAAUGAACUCUUCAUUUUAGUAACAUUGAUGAAUGGGUAUAUGAUCCAUUUUUAGUGAUCAUAAGAUUAAGUUACCUUAGGGAUAACAGCGUAAUUUUUCUUGAGAGUUCAUAUCAACAGAAAAGAUUGCGACCUCGAUGUUGGAUUAAGAAGUAUAAUUAGAUGCAGCAGUUUAGUUAAUAGGUCUGUUCGACCUUUAAAUUCUUACAUGAUCUGAGUUCAGACCGGUGUAAGCCAGGUCGGUUUCUAUCCUUAUUGUUUUUUGAUACUUUAGUACGAAAGGACCAAGUAUUGUAAAUAUUUUAUAGAAUUUGAUUAUUAGUA
rnacentral:rRNA from 1 species